GAUGAACGCUGGCGGCGUGCCUAAUACAUGCAAGUCGAGCGAACAGAUGAGAAGCUUGCUUCUCUGAUGUUAGCGGCGGACGGGUGAGUAACACGUGGGUAACCUACCUAUAAGACUGGAAUAACUCCGGGAAACCGGGGCUAAUACCGGAUAAUAUUUUGAACCGCAUGGUUCAAUAGUGAAAGACGGUUUCGGCUGUCACUUAUAGAUGGACCCGCGCCGUAUUAGCUAGUUGGUAAGGUAACGGCUUACCAAGGCGACGAUACGUAGCCGACCUGAGAGGGUGAUCGGACACACUGGAACUGAGACACGGUCCAGACUCAUACGGGAGGCAGCAGUAGGGAAUCUUCCGCAAUGGGCGAAAGCCUGACGGAGCAACGCCGCGUGAGUGAUGAAGGUCUUCGGAUCGUAAAACUCUGUUGUUAGGGAAGAACAUAUUUGUUAGUAACUGAACAAGUCUUGACGGUACCUAACCAGAAAGCCACGGCUAACUACGUGCCAGCCGCCGCCGUAA
rnacentral:rRNA from 1 species